AAUCGGAAACGGAGACGGAGACUAGAAAUAAGAGAGAACAAUGAAAUCGCCGAGAUGGGGAUAUGUUAGAAUUAUAUCAGGAACUAUUUUUGGAGGCAUUCUUGGAUUCUAUCUUAUGCAUCGCGCUGAACUUCAAUACAAGGAAAUGUGGAACGAGAGAUUGAAGAAGUAUGAGGAGGAGCUCAAAAUGAAUCAAAGUAUGGAGACGCAUACCCCCACUGAGUUGUCUGGAGAUCCUCUUGCGAGAUAGUCCUGGAAUUUAGGCUGACUUUCUGUGUGAAGCUUAUGUCUUGUUUAUAAUAAUUUAUGUUUAUGC